AUAAACGCAGCGAAAGGUAAUAGGGCUUCCCCCAACUUCGACUUUUUGGGAGGUUUUUACAGGUUCUCUUCUUGUUCGCUUCGUCAAUUGCUGCACAGUCAGUCUCCGCAACAAAAUGGCGCCGCCUCCCGGACCCUAUUCUGGAACCAGCACCCUCGCCUUGGUGGCUCGUGCUUCUGCACUCUCUCUUGGACUCGUCUAUGGAAGCAUUAAGCUUAGGGUCCUCAAGGCCAAGGCUAAAUCUCAUCAGAAGGCUGAAGCAAAGGCUCAUCACUGAAGAUGUGUUCAACCAGAAGUUGUGAAUGAGGAUUUGCGAUAGAAAUAAUGCGUAAGGGUGGACUGUACCAAUAUUUCAUUUCUUAAAGCUUUUGUGGAUUAUGAAAACCUUGCUUUGAACAAUUUUGGAUUGAGAAAUAUAUGAAUUCAGUACUUGGAGGAUGGUUUAUUUAGUUGCCCUUGCCAAUUGUAACGGCACAUCAAUUUCCAUUUCAUAGUGAAAUUAUGAGGGUAAUGGUCCCUUGAUCAAUAA